rnacentral:rRNA from 1 species
UACGUAGGGGGCAAGCGUUGUCCGGAAUCAUUGGGCGUAAAGCGCGUGUAGGCGGUCUGUUAAGUCUCGUGUGAAAGCCCCGGGCUCAACCCGGGAAGUGCGCGAGAUACUGGCGGACUGGAGUGGCGGAGAGGAUGGCGGAAUACCCGGUGUAGAGGUGAAAUUCGUAGAUAUCGGGUGGAACACCUGUGGCGAAGGCGGCCAUCUGGACGUCAACUGACGCUGAGACGCGAAAGCGUGGGGAGCAAACAGG